rnacentral:tRNA from 1 species
GGGGAUUUAGCUCAGUGGCAUAAGCGCCUGCCUUGCAAGUAGGCUGUCGUGAGUUCAAUCCCCG